ACAUAAGUAGAUAAAGAGCGAAGGGCUGUGGUGACCUGGAGGUUUUUCGUCGUCCUCUCACGUGCCAAUCAUGUGAGUCACCAGCCUUUUUUUUUCCGCGCAAUGCGCCAGACGUCUGCAUAUACUUCCUCCCUAGGGUUUUCGUAAAUUUCCUCCGCUGCCGCCGCCUCUCUUCUCUUCUUCCUUUUCUCUUCUCUUUUUUUUCCCCGUUGCUUCCUCUUCCUCUCUCCUGUCUGUAUUUUUUCCUCAGACUCUCUCUGUUCCCUCCUCCUUCGCCGCCACAUCAUCUCCCUCUCCGACACCCAACAUCACAAGCACCCCAUCUCCCACCAGCCCUGGGAUUCUAGGACUUCCAAUCCCUCCGCUAAAUCCUCGCCAUCAUCAACAUCUUUCACUGCCUUCCUUCCUAGAUCUCCACUCCCUCGCCCUUCAUCUCCUCAGACUCUCUUCGUUCCCUCCUCUGCCACCAUAUCAUCUCCCUAUCCUCUAUUAGCUACCUAAAGGAUGCCCAUAAGGUGUUGGAUGGAAUGCUUCACAGAGGCGUCGCUUUGACUAUAGUUGGUUUUGGUGUGUUCGUAAGUCCACUUAUACCCUCUCCUCUAAAAAGAGGUUGUCAGUCCCUUCUCUCUCAUUCUCCGAUCAACUGCAAAGCUAAUGUUUCCCCGAUUCUCCCUUAAAUUUUAGAAAAUUUUUGGGCUCUCCGGGACUGCAAAAUCUAUGGCUCUUUUAUCUGCCCACGGAUUUGCUUGCAGUUGCCGAAAAGCCUUACAUUCAAUAGAUCGAUAUAAUUUCACAGUGUUCUGUAUAUAUCUCUAAGUUUUUUAGGAAUUUUAGUUUCAGAGAAUCAACGACUGUUACUGCAGCCAUGGAUUAGAGGUAUCGUUUAUUUUUUGUAAUUUUAAAAAGUUUUAUGUUCUUUGAGUCUUCUUACUAUUUUUAUGUACUAUUUUUAUGUAUUUUUGUGCUUCGUUUUUUCCUCUUUGUAUUUCUUCUUGUUAUAUAUAUUUUUUUAAAAUUUUAUGUUCUUUGAUUUUUGUUACUAUUUUUAUGUAUUUUUUUGAUUAGUUUUUUUUUCCUCUUUGUAUUUCUUCCUGUUAAUGGUGAAUAAACUGAAAGUUGAUUUUUUGAAAUUUUGAUAUUGCAGAUUUAAAAUGCUCGAUUUGCCUAGAGUUCAGGUGGCAAGGAAGCUUUGAUUUUGAUGCCCAGAGUUAGAAAGCCUAAUUAUACCUUUGUAGAGAUACUGCUCUUCGUUUCCUGUUGCAAUACUUACCAGAAUAUGCAAAUCCAAGGUUAUUCUUCUGUGCUCAACAGAGGUUGUGCUGCAGCGAAGUGUAGCCCUUUUAUGUUACGGGAUUUGCUUGCCUGAAGUGUAGUGAAUUUGGGCAAUCCCUGAUAAGUCACCAAAGACUGAUGCAAUGAACAUGCAAUCACUCUGCCAAACUGCCAGAGAAUAGUUACUCAUGAUUGCUGAGGAAUAGAAUUUGGAUCGUUAAAAAUGACGUUCUUAAUGGUUGUCAUGGUCUUAUGCAUACCUUACAUUGUGGGGCUGAUCCUUUGCAAUGGAGUCGAGAGACAAAUUUACAUUGUGGGGUAUAUUGGCUAUUUAUUCUUAUGCUGUUUAUGAUUAUCCUUGUGAUUUUUUGCUUCAGAAUGUUGAAGUGCAGGAUCAUGUGGUAGAGUAGCUAAGAAGGAGGAAUCUGUUGUGCUGUGUUAGGCAUUCAUGUAGUCUGAUUAGGAGUGCGACUCAAUGUUAAAUUGAUUAUUGUAAUUUUUUAAUCUGUUUAGUCUUUUUCUAGAGAACAGUUUAGUAGAUGUUUUUAGUUAAUGUGUAGAUAUCAUUCUUAUAAAGAAUUCAACCACAAAUAUUUUGUAGUAGUUAGGUUGUUGAUUAAUAUGGCUCAAAUGCCAUUUAGUU